rnacentral:rRNA from 1 species
UACGGAGGGUGCGAGCGUUGUCCGGAAUCACUGGGCGUAAAGGGCGCGUAGGUGGCCCGUUAAGUGGCUGGUGAAAUCCCGCGGCUCAACUGCGGGGCUGCCGGUCAUACUGGCGAGCUAGAGCACGGUAGGGGCAGAUGGAAUUCCCGGUGUAGCGGUGGAAUGCGUAGAGAUCGGGAAGAACACCCGUGGCGAAGGCGGUUCUCUGGGACGGUACUGACGCUGAGACGCGAAAGCGUGGGGAGCGAACAGG